UCGAGGGGUAACAGGAGUAGCUUGCUAUUUGCUGACGACCGGCGCACGGGUGCGUAACGCGUAUAGAAUCUACCUUAUACUGGGGGAUAGCCUUUGGAAACGAAGAUUAAUACCCCAUAGUAUUAUUUUUUGGCAUCAUUAAAUAAUUAAAGUUUCGGCGGUAUAAGAUGACUAUGCGUUCUAUUAGUUAGUUGGUAAGGUAACGGCUUACCAAGACUUCGAUAGAUAGGGGUCCUGAGAGGGAGAUCCCCCACACUGGUACUGAGACACGGACCAGACUCCUACGGGAGGCAGCAGUGAGGAAUAUUGGACAAUGGAGGCAACUCUGAUCCAGCCAUGCCGCGUGUAGGAAGACUGCCCUAUGGGUUGUAAACUACUUUUAUAUGGGAAGAAUAAGAUCUACGUGUAGAUYGAUGACGGUACCAUANGAAUAAGCACCGGCUAACUCCGUGCCAGCAGCCGCGGUAAUACGGAGGGUGCAAGCGUUAUCCGGAAUCAUUGGGUUUAAAGGGUCCGUAGGCGGGCAUAUAAGUCAGUGGUGAAAGUCUGUGGCUUAACCAUAGAAUUGCCAUUGAUACUGUAUGUCUUGAAUUAUUGUGAAGUGGUUAGAAUAUGUAGUGUAGCGGUGAAAUGCUUAGAGAUUACAUAGAAUACCGAUUGCGAAGGCAGAUCACUAACAAUAUAUUGACGCUGAUGGACGAAAGCGUAGGUAGCGAACAGGAUUAGAUACCCUGGUAGUCUACGCCGUAAACGAUGGAUACUAGUUGUUUGGUUUUCGGACUGAGUGACUAAGCGAAAGUGAUAAGUAUCCCACCUGGGGAGUACGUUCGCAAGAAUGAAACUCAAAGGAAUUGACGGGGGCCCGCACAAGCGGUGGAGCAUGUGGUUUAAUUCGAUGAUACGCGAGGAACCUUACCAGGGCUUAAAUGUAGUCUGACAGCUUUAGAGAUAGAGUUUUCUUCGGACAGAUUACAAGGUGCUGCAUGGUUGUCGUCAGCUCGUGCCGUGAGGUGUCAGGUUAAGUCCUAUAACGAGCGCAACCCCUGUGGUUAGUUGCCAGCGAGUAAUGUCGGGAACUCUAGCCAGACUGCCGGUGCAAACCGUGAGGAAGGUGGGGAUGACGUCAAAUCAUCACGGCCCUUACGUCCUGGGCCACACACGUGCUACAAUGGUAGGGACAGAGAGCAGCCACUUAGCGAUAAGGAGCGAAUCUAUAAACCCUAUCUCAGUUCGGAUUGGAGUCUGCAACUCGACUCCAUGAAGCUGGAAUCGCUAGUAAUCGGAUAUCAGCCAUGAUCCGGUGAAUACGUUCCCGGGCCUUGUACACACCGCCCGUCAAGCCAUGGAAGCUGGGGGUACC
rnacentral:rRNA from 1 species